GUAGAGCACUGUUUCGGCAAGGGGGUCAUCCCGACUUACCAACCCGAUGCAAACUGCGAAUACCGGAGAAUGUUAUCACGGGAGACACACGGCGGGUGCUAACGUCCGUCGUGAAGAGGGAAACAACCCAGACCGCCAGCUAAGGUCCCAAAGUCAUGGUUAAGUGGGAAACGAUGUGGGAAGGCCCAGACAGCCAGGAUGUUGGCUUAGAAGCAGCCAUCAUUUAAAGAAAGCGUAAUAGCUCACUGGUCGAGUCGGCCUGCGCGGAAGAUGUAACGGGGCUAAACCAUGCACCGAAGCUGCGGCAGCGACACUAUGUGUUGUUGGGUAGGGGAGCGUUCUGUAAGCCUGUGAAGGUGUACUGUGAGGUAUGCUGGAGGUAUCAGAAGUGCGAAUGCUGACAUAAGUAACGAUAAAGCGGGUGAAAAGCCCGCUCGCCGGAAGACCAAGGGUUCCUGUCCAACGUUAAUCGGGGCAGGGUGAGUCGACCCCUAAGGCGAGGCCGAAAGGCGUAGUCGAUGGGAAACAGGUUAAUAUUCCUGUACUUGGUGUUACUGCGAAGGGGGGACGGAGAAGGCUAUGUUGGCCGGGCGACGGUUGUCCCGGUUUAAGCGUGUAGGCUGGUUUUCCAGGCAAAUCCGGAAAAUCAAGGCUGAGGCGUGAUGACGAGGCACUACGGUGCUGAAGCAACAAAUGCCCUGCUUCCAGGAAAAGCCUCUAAGCAUCAGGUAACAUCAAAUCGUACCCCAAACCGACACAGGUGGUCAGGUAGAGAAUACCAAGGCGCUUGAGAGAACUCGGGUGAAGGAACUAGGCAAAAUGGUGCCGUAACUUCGGGAGAAGGCACGCUGAUAUGUAGGUGAAGCGACUUGCUCGUGGAGCUGAAAUCAGUCGAAGAUACCAGCUGGCUGCAACUGUUUAUUAAAAACACAGCACUGUGCAAACACGAAAGUGGACGUAUACGGUGUGACGCCUGCCCGGUGCCGGAAGGUUAAUUGAUGGGGUUAGCGGUAACGCGAAGCUCUUGAUCGAAGCCCCGGUAAACGGCGGCCGUAACUAUAACGGUCCUAAGGUAGCGAAAUUCCUUGUCGGGUAAGUUCCGACCUGCACGAAUGGCGUAAUGAUGGCCAGGCUGUCUCCACCCGAGACUCAGUGAAAUUGAACUCGCUGUGAAGAUGCAGUGUACCCGCGGCAAGACGGAAAGACCCCGUGAACCUUUACUAUAGCUUGACACUGAACAUUGAGCCUUGAUGUGUAGGAUAGGUGGGAGGCUUUGAAGUGUGGACGCCAGUCUGCAUGGAGCCGACCUUGAAAUACCACCCUUUAAUGUUUGAUGUUCUAACGUUGGCCCGUUAUCCGGGUUGCGGACAGUGUCUGGUGGGUAGUUUGACUGGGGCGGUCUCCUCCUAAAGAGUAACGGAGGAGCACGAAGGUUGGCUAAUCCUGGUCGGACAUCAGGAGGUUAGUGCAAUGGCAUAAGCCAGCUUGACUGCGAGCGUGACGGCGCGAGCAGGUGCGAAAGCAGGUCAUAGUGAUCCGGUGGUUCUGAAUGGAAGGGCCAUCGCUCAACGGAUAAAAGGUACUCCGGGGAUAACAGGCUGAUACCGCCCAAGAGUUCAUAUCGACGGCGGUGUUUGGCACCUCGAUGUCGGCUCAUCACAUCCUGGGGCUGAAGUAGGUCCCAAGGGUAUGGCUGUUCGCCAUUUAAAGUGGUACGCGAGCUGGGUUUAGAACGUCGUGAGACAGUUCGGUCCCUAUCUGCCGUGGGCGCUGGAGAACUGAGGGGGGCUGCUCCUAGUACGAGAGGACCGGAGUGGACGCAUCACUGGUGUUCGGGUUGUCAUGCCAAUGGCACUGCCCGGUAGCUAAAUGCGGAAGAGAUAAGUGCUGAAAGCAUCUAAGCACGAAACUUGCCCCGAGAUGAGUUCUCCCUGACUCCUUGAGAGUCCUGAAGGAACGUUGAAGACGACGACGUUGAUAGGCCGGGUGUGUAAGCGCAGCGAUGCGUUGAGCUAACCGGUACUAAUGAGCCGUGAGGCUUAACCUUACAACGCCGAAG
rnacentral:rRNA from 1 species